rnacentral:lncRNA from 1 species
AUCUGCAUUCAGGCUGCAGUACACACUGACAAGGUGAGCCCACUGAAGGAGAAGUCUGCCACUGCAGAGAACGGAUCUGUCCACACUGAUUCAGUCAAAGCAGAGCCACAGGUGACUGCUGAUGAGGAAGAAAAGCCGCAAAGGCAAGAAGAGGAGGAUAAAGAGGAGCUAGAGUUUCCUCAUGAUCUGCUGACCAGCAUAGACCUUGACCUCAGCACUGAGCUCAGUCUCACCUGGGGAAUCUCACUUGGACCAUCUGAGAUCCACAGUUUGCCUCAGGCUGAACUAGAAUUCCGAACCCCAACUGAAGAAUAUUUUCCCCCUGCACCUGAAGAGAGUUUUCCCCCUGCACUUGAUGAGAGUUUCCCCCCUGCGCCUGAGGAGAGUUUUCACCCUUGGCCUGAGGAGAGUUUCCCCACUGCGCCUGAGGAGAGUUUUCCUCCUGCCCCUGUGGAGAGUUUUCCUCCUGCACCUGAGGAGAGUUUUCCUCCUGCUCCUGUGGAAAGUUUUUCUCCUGCACCUGAGGAGAGUUUUACCCCUGUUACUAAGCAGACAGAAGAACCACUAGACUGCAGGUGAGACCUCCUACAUGCUCCUUAUGCACUUUAUGCACUUAUGCAAUAAUCAUGAAAUUAUU